CUACAUAAGUAAACACUGCAUUAACAACAUUGACUGAUUGAGUUGAACUACAAAUGAAUCAUGUUCUUUCAGUUAUUUAUUUCCGUAUAUUGAUAAACAGCUCACAGAACGCUAGUUUUGGCUCAUUAGUAUAUCUAGACUACUUCAAAGUAGAUCUAGAAUUUAAUAGAAAUAAAAAACAAUAACUUUGAAAGCAGAAUGGAUUACAGGACCCUAUGUGAAUAUUUAAUAUUAUUUAUUACAGUUAUCAGGACUAAUGCAGAUGAACUAUCAGGUGACAUCUGUGAGGACUUAAUAGCUCAGACUGAGCCAUUAGAAGAAAUGAGUAAGCUAGUGUUUUAUUCUCACCUUCCAAAGGGUGGUAAAGAGGCAGGGACUUACUUAAAGGUAAA
rnacentral:sRNA from 1 species